UAGAAACUUGGCUUUGCUGCUCUAACUGCUUUGCCUCUCACUUUCACCAGCCGCUGGGACAUUUCGAGGAACAAAAUGCAUCUGAUUUUUUUAAAAACAGGACUAACUUUGGCUAUGCAUCCGGCAGUGAACUGACCGUCAAAGGCUGUGGUUCUCUAACUAAAGAUUAUCAACAGGAUGGGGAAGAACUCUCUGAAGUAACGAGAAGGCACGUUCACAGGUCAUAAUGAAGAACUUAGGUAUGAUCCUAUACCUAAGGAAAUGGUAUUCAAUUUGCAGUCACUUUUUUGGUUAGGAUUAGCAGUGGUAAGGAAAUGGGGCUGAUAUAAGGCCGAACACUAUGC
rnacentral:lncRNA from 1 species